rnacentral:misc_RNA from 1 species
GGGUCUCUUUCAUAAUGAUCGGUGCAGUAGCAGCCGCCAUGAUGGAGAUCUGCGAGACGAGAUCUCAGAAAAGAAGUAACCCUCCCAGAGAUUCAGAGAACAAUAGAAAAAUCGAGAGAGAAAAGGGUUCUUCUAAAAUGCGUUUGGUAAGCACUGAAGAUGGCGAAUAUGGAAUGAAUUGGGGAACAAUUGUUGAGUUCUAACU